UACGGAGGGUGCGAGCGUUGUCCGGAUUUAUUGGGUUUAAAGGGUGCGUAGGCGGCUCCUUAAGUCCGGGGUGAAAGCCCGUUGCUCAACAACGGAACUGCCCUGGAUACUGAGGAGCUUGAGUGCAGACGAGGUUGGCGGAAUGGACAGAGUAGCGGUGAAAUGCAUAGAUACUGUCCAGAACCCCGAUUGCGAAGGCAGCUGACUAGGCUGUUACUGACGCUGAGGCACGACAGCGUGGGGAGCGAACAGG
rnacentral:rRNA from 1 species